UACGUAGGGUGCAAGCGUUGUUCGGAAUUAUUUGGGCGUAAAGGGUGCGUAGGCGGUUUGGUAAGUCUUGUGUGAAAUCUCCAGGCUCAACUUGGAGUCUGCACGAGAAACUGCCGGGCUUGAGUGUGGGGAGAGGUGAGUGGAAUUCCUGGUGUAGCGGUGAAAUGCGUAGAUAUCAAGGAGGAACACCUGUGGCGAAAGCGGCUCACUGGACCAACAACUGACGCUGAUGCACGAAAGCUAGGGGAGCAAACAGGA
rnacentral:rRNA from 1 species